CUUGUACAUAGGACUUAUCCUGAAAACCUAAAUUUGCAAAUGAUUCUCCUUUGUGCCUUUUAUACUUUGGAACUGAUGUCUUUGGUAGUAAUUCUUAUGAUAUUUUUCCCUUCCUAUUUUCCAUUAAUCACAUAGUUGAUAAUAGCAAUUAUCUAUUUUUUUGGCCAUUCCUUGGAAUUCAAGAG